rnacentral:rRNA from 1 species
UGAACGCUGGCGGCGUGCCUACUACAUGCAAGUCGAGCGAACGGACGAGAAGCUUGCUUUUCUGAUGUUAGCGGCGGACGGGUGAGUAACACGUGGAUAACCUACCUAUAAGACUGGGAUAACUUCGGGAAACCGGAGCUAAUACCGGAUAAUAUUUUGAACCGCAUGGUUCAAAAGUGAAAGACGGUCUUGCUGUCACUUAUAGAUGGAUCCGCUCUGCAUUAGCUAGUUGGUAAGGUAACGGCUUACCAAGGCAACGAUGCAUAGCCGACCUGAGAGGGUGAUCGGCCACACUGGAACUGAGACACGGUCCAGACUCCUACGGGAGGCAGCAGUAGGGAAUCUUCCGCAAUGGGCGAAAGCCUGACGGAGCAACGCCGCGUGAGUGAUGAAGGUCUUCGGAUCGUAAAACUCUGUUAUUAGGGAAGAACAUAUGUGUAAGUAACUGUGCACAUCUUGACGGUACCUAAUCAGAAAGCCACGGCUAACUACGUG